rnacentral:rRNA from 1 species
UACAGGGGGGGCAAGCGUUGUUCGGAAUUACUGGGCGUAAAGGGCGCGUAGGCGGCCUUCUAAGUCAGACGUGAAAUCCCUCGGCUCAACCGGGGAACUGCGUCUGAGACUGGAAGGCUUGAAUCCGGGAGAGGGAUGUGGAAUUCCAGGUGUAGCGGUGAAAUGCGUAGAUAUCUGGAGGAACACCGGUGGCGAAGGCGGCAUCCUGGACCGGUAUUGACGCUGAGGCGCGAAAGCCAGGGGAGCAAACGGG